UUUCAAGGCCCUUCACAAGCAAAACAGCUCCCACUUACACAGCUGCUCUGGAAACACCCCCCAGGCUGCUGCCAGGGUCACAGGUCUCAGGGCAAAGCAAGAGGCCUGGAGCAAAAACAACGGCUAAGGCACGGCGUGACAUGCGGGGCAGCCUCUAUCAGAGCCACUCGGAAAUGCCAUUUUUCAGAACAAAAGACACCAUUGGGAAGGGCCCCUCGCGAGGACACCAGCAGCCUGCUCACACUUUGCCCAGCACCUCCCAAACGCAGCUCCGAGCAGCACCUGGGGCUGCRAUGGCAGCAGCAGCUCAGGGAAAUGCUUUAACAUGGGUCUCCAAUCCCUGGCAGGGGCAAAGCUUCCUGCCCCCAACCCCAGCAGCUGCCUUGGCCCAGCUGCUYRGGGCAGGCCGGCACGUCUGGCUGCAGGGCAGCUGCCCACUCUGUCCCCAGUUGCUCUGUGCCGUGCUCACGGCCCCACCAGGCCCUGCUGCAGCUCCUGCAGGAAAGCAGCCCCGGGGCCAGCACCGCUGCCCCCACCCCAGUGGGAAGGCACCCGCCGACAGUUGAAGGCGCCCGCAGCCCCACCAGCCCCACUCACACCUGCUCUCGCCCACUCCCUUACUCCAGGUUUGUUCCAGGUGCACUUCUACCUCUUCCUGUUUCCCCCCAUGCUGGACUCUGAUUGGCUGAGAGAGCCGUCAUUCAAAUCCACCCCCAUGUUUCUCUUGCCAGCCAAUAGGAAUGCAAGCACUGCAGGCAUUGCCAUGGAAACAUUGCAGCCUCCUGUCCUGGCAGCCGGCUCUGCCUCCUGCCCCUGUGGUCGGUCGCCAUCUUGUGGGCCGCAUUGCGGGGCAUCGCGAGGCGUCGUGGAGCCUCGGGGAAGCGUGGCCCCGUGUGCCCGGGCACUGCGGGGUCCUGGGGCGCGGCUGCUCCCCCGCCGGGGUUGGGCUCUGCCGUGGGGGCCCCGCAGGGCUCCUGGCUGCCCUGUGCCCGGGGGCGGUGGGGGGCACAAGGGAGCAGCCCUGGGGCCUGUGCUGGUGCUGGCCCUGGCGCUGGCGCGGGGGCCCUGGGCAU
rnacentral:lncRNA from 1 species